AGGGGGUGAAGGUGGAGCGCGGCUCUGAUAGGGGAUUCGGAAAUUUCUUGGCGGAUUAAAGAUUGGAAGCACGGAUUUUACCUGGCGUUACCGCGGGGUUAAAUAACCAGUGGCCGGUUACAGGUUUACUGUUUCGAAGUUGAAGAGCUGUCUCAGGGAAUAUUCCGAAGAUGAGGGGUCAUUUGGUGGAUUUUUGGAUAAAUUAUUCGAUUAAUUAUUUUUUCUGGGUUAAUUGUCCCGAAAAAAGAGGUUUUUUGAAUUCUAAAUUUAACUUCCAUCAUCUGUACCAUCACACCAAUUGUUUAACAUGGGAAUAUUUUUUUUACUGCAUGCCACGACCUUUAGAUCCUUAUUUCCAAACCUGGAAGAUUUGUAUUCAAGGCUCGGGGGCUGCGGGAUACGUGGUAUCGACUACUUAUUUUUUGAAUUUAUUCGAAAAGUAAGAAAGAAAGAUUCAAGACUAAUGUGAUCCUCAGCCUGAUUCUUCUAUUCAACCUAAGGCUCGGGGGCUACUCCAUAUGGAGUGCAAUUUUUCAAUCGCACACCAUACCAAAGAAGUAAUUUCGGGGCAUGAGCACCUCAUAGCUGCGAUGCAACCAAGAAAGUACUCAAAGAAGAACUUCAAGACGGAGCUUCAAAAGAAGCCGAAGACUACUUUGAAAGUACUCGAGGAGCCUGCAGUACUCAGCUACGAAGAGCUCGGGAGCUUGUCAGACCCAGGACUACGGGACUGUGUACAUAACGUAGUUCAUACAGGAUUAGGGGAUAUGACCUGUCCUAUACCUUAUCUAUGUUGUACUCUACUCAUAUGCAAAGUAGGACUAGUUGGUACAGAAGGAAAUUACUUGAGUUUUACUCGAGUACAAUUCCUUGGCUAGUAUUGAACUAGGAUUCAUGUAACCCUGUCCUCCCGGAUAUAUAAGGGCGGGCAGGGACCCCCUGAAAACAUAACAUCGACACCCAAGGUAAUACAAACCACCAUACAGGACGUAGGGUAUUACGCACAUCGCGGCCCGAACCUGUCUAAACCUUGUGUUCCUUGCACCUUCGAGUUCCUAAUCUCUGUGUCUCCCAACCUAAACUUACCACCUCAGGUAUACCCCUCGGUGGGCAGCCGGUAAAACACCAACAGUAGUUGUGCGCUUUUCGCUUCAGGUUGUCCGACUGGCGGCUCGGGGGCUGGAGUAGCCGAGAUAGGUUCCGGCCUCAUCCAACCCCAAAGUAGACGAAGUCCUAACAAAGCAGAAUUAGAUAUAUUAUCAAACAAGUUGAAAGAGCAGAAGAUAUAUUAUGAACAAGGAGCAGCACUCACAGAGAGGAUUUCUUCAUGGCGGGCUUCUUAAGCCUCAGUACCCGUGGCUUUACUAGUGGCGGGGUCACACCAGCCGAGGGCGCGAGAUGCCCCGGUGAGGUACCCGCCACGGCAACGGUCACGACCCCUGCAGAAGUAGUCGACGGGUCCGUCCCAGCACUUUCUGCAGAAGCACCUGCUGAAACAUCAUCCCCAGCAAAUACGGUCCCGACCACCUUUCGGCGCUUGGGGUCAGGAGGAGAAGAAGAAGGACUGCAACACAGACAAAGUAAGCAUCCAACAAACAUAAGACUUGACAAUUCCACAAGACGGCGGUCCCAUACCUGGAGGAUUUGACUAUGUUUGCUCUACGCUUGCGUACCACCCGACGACCCCAAGGGACCAAUGGCAACGCUUCUACCAACUCCACGAAUGAUCCGGAGGAGUUGUUCUUGUUCACCUUCCCUUCAGCUGCCUUCUCCGCCAGGGGGAUCUCGCUCUCGGUUGUCUCGCCGCUGGGUAGAUCAUCAAACGAUUGAGCCCUUUUCGCUUCAGCUACGGCACUGGGGAGAAGGUGGUACGGUCGCGGGAUGCCGGAUUGUGGCGGAUAACUCCAAUACAACGCCAUGUGUCCCUACAGAGGAUUCUCAAGUUAGCGGAAGUUCCAGAACAACAGAAAGUAUUCCAAGUACUUGAAAGCUUACCAGCUCUGGAGGAUUUUGUGCGAAGAAUAGCUCCAGGAUGUAGGGAACCGUGUUCACAUCCAGCAGCACCCGCUUGACUCGGAUGAGCGCAGCAUCAUUGGUUAAAUCCUCUACGCACAUCCGAGAUGGGUCUUCAGCACCCAUGUACUCGAAGCCUAACGUAUGGCAUUGCUGGAUGGGUUGGAUUCGGCGUUUGGAAAAUGACAACAUUAUAGAUGCACCGGUCACCCCCAUUUCCUUAUGGGCUGCUAUGAGAGCUAGCAGCUCAUCGACUUGGCCAUGUCCCCCUUGGAGAGCUCGGUGUUCCACUCCGGCUGCAGGAAAGGGGGCUUACCCGAUCUUUCAGGGAGUUGAGGGCAUGGUUUCCAAUGUAGAACCAAUGGUUUUUUCAUCCAGGAAUAUUGGAGGGGAAUUUGUAGGAAAGAUAUUUGUCACCGGCACUUUACCUAAGCUAAAUGCCGACGCCCCCUACAAUGGAUGGAUUUUUGGAGGUAGGUUGUGGCUUUACAUGGAAGAGAUAGCGGAAAAGAUCCCAAUGGGGUUCAAUUCCAAGGAAAGCUUCACAAAAGUGGAUGAAAAUAGCAAUGUGGCAGAUCGAGUUCGGGUUGAGAUGAUGGAGCUCAAGGCCGUAGAAAUAAACAAGGCCACGGAAGAAGGAAUAGGUGGGGAGGGCCAAACCCCGUUCAGCGAAAUGGUAGAAUGAGACGAUUUCGUCUACAUUCUCCAUGGGAAGAGAUUGGUGAAAAGAAGGGUGCCAGUUGACGAGAUCUUUCCCCUGAAGCAAACCCUCAGAAACUAGAUUCAGGAGGUCAUUAUUGGAGCAUUUACUGUAAGUCCACGCCCCGGAAGGCGGCUGUGAUUCCUUCCCCUUCCCAUCCUUCUCGUUGGAUCUCUUGGGCGCCAUUUCAAAUCUGUUUGCCACGAGCCACUUUACUCACAUGCGCUCGAGGGCUGCAGAGAAGGGGUGGAGAGAUUCGGCUAGCUUGAGGCUUGUCUAAGGAGGUGAAGGCGGAGCACGGAUCUGAUUGGGGACUCGAAAAUUAUUCAGUGGAUUGAAGAUUGAAAGCAUGGGUUUUACCCUAAGUUACCGCAGGGUUAAAUAACCAGCGGCCGAAUACAGAUUUACCAUUCCGAAGUUGAAGAGUCAUCACAGGGAAUAUUCGGAAGAUGAGGGGUUAUUUGGUGGAUUUUUAGAUAAUGUAUUUGAUUAACCAUUCUUUCAGGGUUAAUUGUCUCGAAAAAAGGGGUUUUUUCGAAUUCCAAAUCUAACUUCCAUCAUCUGUACCAUCACACUAAUUAUUUCCCAAGGGAAUAUUUUUUCGCUGCAUGCCACGACCAUUGGAUCCUUUUUUCCAAGCCUGAGAGAUUUGAAUUCAAGGCUCGGGGGCUGUGGGAUACGUGGCAUCGACUACUUAUUUUUUGAAUAUAUUCGAAGAGUAAGGAAGAUUCAAGACUAAUGUGACCCUCAGCCUGAUUCUUCGAUUCAACCUAAGGCUCGGGGGCUACUCCAUAUGGAGUGCAAUUUUCCAUUGCACCCCAUACCAAAUAAGUAAUUCGAAGCAUGAGCACCUCAUAGGUUCGAUGCAGCCAAGGAAGUACUCGAAGAAGAACUUCAAGACGGAGCUUCAAAAGAAGCCGAAGACUACUUGGAAAGUAUUCGAGGAGCCUGCAGUACUCAGCUACGAAGAGCUCGGGGGCUUGUCAAACUCGGGACUAUGAGACUGUGUACAUAACGUAGUUCAUAUAGGAAUAGGGGAUAGGACGUGUCCUAUACCUUAUCUGUGUUGUACUCUACUCGCAUGCGAAGUAGAACUAGUCGAUACAGAAGGAAGCUAUUUGAGUUGUACUCGAGUAGGAUUCCUAAGCUAGUGUCGGACUAGGAUUCAUGUAACCCUAUCCUUCCGGAUAUAUAAGGGUGGGCAGGGACCCCCUCAAAACACAUCAACACCCAAGGCAAUACAAACCACCAAACAGGACGUAGGGUAUUACGCACAUCGCGGCCCGAACCUAUCUAAACCUUGUGUUGCUUGCACCUUCAAGUUCCUGAUCUCGGCGAUACCCUACCUAAAAGUCACCACCUCGGGUAUACCCCUCGGUGGGCAGGCGGUAAAACAUAGACAGCAAGUACUUGUAGAAGAUGGACUGUUUCUUGAAUGGUACGCCUUCGAUAGGUGCCUUAUAUCUAUUUCUCUUCUUCCCAUCUUUGUCAUCUUCCCAUAGGUGACCUGGCCAUUUCAAAAACAAAGUGCCCAUCUCGUUUUACUGGAGCAGAAUGUAACUCAGGCUUGCCAUCAAUAUAGUUGUAGAACUUCUUACUUCAUGAAAGAUAUCUAGGCCCCUUAGUGGGUUUUGGUGGAAGAUGACAAAGCACAUGUAUAUCUAAUCAUGUUAUCGAGCAUGUGUGCAGAGGCUAAGAAUGAUGAAGAAAAGCGUAUUACAAAAACAUGACCCCUCAAAAAGGGAAAUGAAAAGCGGUGUUCCAAAUUUACUUGAAGAAUUAGAUUUUAUUUUGAAAUUGAGUAUAGGAACGCCGUACUAUCAAGAGGGACUUUGAUCCACAGGUGUUGAUGUGGUAGUUGUGCUCAAGAGAACCUACAAAAGCCAUGAGAAUCAAACCUACCACUAAAAAUAGCCUUCUUGUGAAAAACCUUUGUUUAUCCGGACUAUCCAGUUUAAUGUCCGGAAUGUCCGGACAUUGUGAUCUGGAGUAUCCAGACAGUAUCUCGGAGUCUCCGGUGUGGCAGAACCAACCUGAAUUAUACCGGCUCAAGCACGCGAGUCCACUCGAGAGGGCUCCAACGUACUUCAAACGGUACAAUACCUUGGUCUGUUGGGUAGCGUCCCGAUAAACCACCGAUACAGGAUCAAAUAAGGUUACCUCACACGAAGGUGAGUCUAGAGAUACAGUCACCAUCAUAAUUUACAUCAUAGGGAAAUUACUUUACAAGGGUUUCUAAAAGUAGUACAAAGUCCCACACUUAGUGAAGUUAUUACAAAGUUUGCAGAAAUAGCAAAGGUUCCAAACUAAGAGUCAUUAUUACAAACCAGUUUUAAAGUUCAAGUUCGAGCAGCAGAAUUCAAAGUACGAUAACUAUACACGUCGCCAGUAAGGACGUCAUGCUAAGCCAUGGCAUAACAUCACUCGUUAUGAUCGGGCUUGGCCAAGGAUGGAUCCCACUCCACGGAGCAACCAUCAGGCAAAGCAUAAGGCCAAGGCAUGGGGUAAGUAGGGUCUUCAGAAACAUUACCUGAAACAAAAACAUAUAGCAAGGCUGAGUACUCUAAUACUCAGCAAGGCUUACCCGGAAUUAGGGUAUACUUAGCCCAUAACUAGACCAUGAAGGCUUUACUAGGGUUUUUGGUUUUGUUUCAGCUGAAAAGCAACAAAGAGUAGGUCCUUAUUUUCAUUUUUAGCUUUCAGAUUCUAGUUCCUUUAACCAUUCUAAGUAAGCACCUAUAACUACUCAAGCAAAGUAGAGUCUCUUUAAAGCAUACAUCAGUAUUACUCCUCAUAAGGUUUCCCUUGUUACUCUAUGUGGCAAAAGAGUUAAGCAGUCCCAAACUUUGUGAGAAACGGACGAUUCUGAAUCGAAUUUCAACCUUGCAAGGUAAACCUAACUCACACGCUUGGAACACCAACAGGUCGUUCCGAAGCAACCGUUUGCCUCUCAUUCCGGGUCGUGGAACAAAGCCACCACAAGCGACUGUUGGACCAUACGCACAUCCAAUGUGCAGGACAUACAUCUGUAGCGCGACUACAUGACCGUAUUCCCGUCUGCUCUGCAGAACAUACUCCCACAGUCGGUGCGUGUAAACAUAAAAUAAAAGUCGAGUGGUGGGGGACGAAUCCACUUGCCAGGCCGAUUGGUUACUAGGCUUACCGUUUACCAUAUUUCACGGCAUGUGGCUAGUACUUUCAAACGCUUAACAGCCACUACCACACACUGCGAUCUUAACCAAAUUCAUCAACACAGACGGGGUAUCAUUUCUUUCCAAGAUACUACACAUAACCCCGUCCGCCAUCCUUAUAGUGAUUGCAGUAUGUAAGCAACCAAUUCCUAUAUCACACGAGUGAUAGGAAAUCACUCGACUUCUACCGGUCCUAUUAGCAUAGCACUAGUCGGACUCAGUUUCCAACAUUCAUUACAUUGGUUCCUAGGGAGAUGCAUCUAUGGUUUCCAGACAACUCCUAAGAACUUAAUGCACAAUUAUUUAUAUAUAAAGGUAAAUUGCAGUGUAAAUAAGAUACUAUGUUUAUGUCCGGGGCUUACCUUCACUGGCGGGGCUGGGGUCAGAGAUAUUAAUAAAUUCUGCCGAACUCGGGUUCGGGGCUUCAGUUAAUUCUCCAACGAUGUUCCCGGCGUCUUCAGAGACUUCCACUUCAGGUUCUGGGAGGAUCUGAUAGUCACCGUCAACGAGAAAUGUCGAGUCUAUAUGUGAUCAAAAUGAUGCAGUUUAGGAAAUGCAUAAAUUGAUAUUCUACUUCACGAUAAAGUUGCAAUCCAAGGAACACAUCAUUACAUAUUAAUAAACAACACAGUUGCCUCCUUACUGGGCAGUCAUUUAUCGAGUAUUAAAUAAUUUACUUAGUUACAUUAAGUGACGGGGGGUGUUAACUCUAAUCAUUUAACUAACUACAAGAAGUAGCAUGGUUAACUAUUAAACUAAUUACAUUUAACACCUUUAUUUAAUUAACUAGCUAAUCACUUUGAAAAACCCUAAGUUAUUAUUUAAUAUAGAUCUAUUAAUCAAGUUCUAUUUAUUUUAGUUAUUUUACACCUGAUCAUGGGUUGAAAAUUUGUGGGUAUGCUACACUACUUUAGAGUAACAUCUUAAAACAUUUUCAUAAUUUUUCAGGAAUAAAAGCUAGUAUAAAAGAAUUAUCUUCGGAAACAAACCAAAAAUUCAUAACUCGGGGUAUGACCUACUAUUAAUCCUAAUACUUUUACCAUGGAUUACACAUUCAAAAAGGAAAUUAUGGUAUAAAUUUCAAUUACAAAAACUAAUAGAAACAUCCUUAAUUAAAAAUUUAAGCAUUUCAUCAUCAUAUAACAAAAGUACUCGAAAUCUAAGUAAAUGAGCAGUAAAGAACUUGAGAUUUUUACACAGAGCUAUACAUAGCACAUACAAUCUAAGUUCCAAAUUUCAGCUAUAACACAUGCCUACAACAUGAGAUACAAAUAAAACACUUAUUUUCUAGUAUUUAAUCUACAACAGAAAAUAUACAUAUAUAGCUCUAGUUUACUAUACAAAAGUAGUCGAAUUCAAAUCAAGGAUUCUAACAAAACUGGUUUGGCAUUUUUCUGAAUUUUCUACAAUUUUCUAUGAAUUUUUGAAGUUCACAGCUUUUGAAUUGGGGGGGCUCUGGAAUUUUACAAGGACACCCUUAGAACUUUUGAAAUCUUUACAGGGAUGCCCUUGGCUCGUCGGGGAAGAAGGCAGUGAGGUUGCCGGCCAAAUUCCGGUGAGGGGACGGCGAGGGGUUGGAGGAGACGUAGCCAGCGAGCACCAGGAGGUCAAGCCGCACCUGCUAGAGGUCUUGGGAAGGGGAGGGGAUGACCGAAGGGGUCUUUCCCACGAUGGCCGAGGCGGCGACGGAGGGGCGCUCAUCGGCGAGGAGUUUCCCGGCGAGGAGGAGGGUGAAGCUUGGGCUCAACAGCUGCAGGAGGAUGAGGGGAAGCUAUUGGAGCAGUGGAAUUGGGCGGAGGAAGGGCGGAGGUACAAGCUCGACGGCGGCAGAAGCUUACCGGCGAAGGGGAGAACGGCGGCGAGGUAGCUCCGGUGGAGGUCCGGCCUCGGUAAGUGGCUGGUGAGUGUCAGUGGGGUACGAGGAAGCUUCCUAGGGGUUGGGGUGGGCAAUGGAAGGCUCGAGGUGGGGGCUCCGCGGCGAACAAGAGGGCGCCGGAGUUGGAGGAGAUGGCGACGGUGGUGCUCGGGGUCCUGGGCAAGUAAAGAGCAGGAACAAGAAUGGAAUGGAAAGAUAGGGAACUAGUGCUGCUCUGGAACCAGGAAAGAGAGAGCGAGGGGGCGUGCACGGGCGAUGCCACGGCGGCGGCGAGAUGGCGGCGGCAGAGCCGCAGAACAGCGUGGCGCGCGCAAGAGGGCCAGGGAGGGAAAGCUAGAGCAGCGCUCGGGUUGGGGUCGACGCGUGGAGAAGCUAGGAACUGGAGGUGGCGCCGGGGAGUGGCCGAGGCUCAGCACCUGGCCAGGGAAGCGGCGCUGACACCGGCGGCAGAGAUGCAGCGGGCGAAGCAGAGGAACUGCCGGAGGAGGAAGAAGAGAGAAGGGGGUCCGAGGGGCCCCAUUGGAAAAAAACAAAAACCUCAGGGACUUCACUGUAAAUAGAAAUUUCCCACUGAUCCAAAGCCCUAAUUGUCACACCCGAUUUAUAAGAACAUAAAUCGAGCAAUCAUAUAUGCGCCAAGAUCAAGUCACGCAUAUAUAUACAACAGAUUAUCAAGAUAUCACAACACAUGUCACGAAUAAAAACGUAUGAAUUACGAAAUGAAUAUCUUUAUUACAACUGAAUCAAGAAUCAGUUCAAGGAAUGCGGAAGCGUAAAAUCAAUACAUGAAGAGCUGGGCGCCACAGGGACGUCGACUGGGAUACCAACGCCUAGAAGUCGUCGAAGCCGCUGACGUAGUCCUCCACGUUGCCGGGCACUGAGCAGCAGUCGAAGAUAUCCAAGAGAACAGAAGAGAAGAGAGGCAAGGGUGAGUACAAACUCGUACUCAACAAGUAUAACACAAACUAUGAGGCUCUAGGCUAGCUGACUCAACUGCAUUAGCUUUUAGUCUUGGUAAAUUUUAUUAAAGCUAGUUACUACAAGUGGAUGAAUUACCAUAACCCAAUUGCAUAAGAAAUUAAUCAAUAUUAAUUAAGAACUACUGAGAACCAUCCAAACCAAAACCACCCGGGGAAUCCCCCUAAUCAAAGGUUGAUAACCCCACUAAUCAAAAGGAGGAUCUGGGCCGCUCAUGACUGUGAGCACAGCUGAUAUAUCAGUUUGACACUCUCGAGAGGUUGCACAACUUUACCCACAAGUCGUGAGCUACGCUAGUUGUUCAUCACACUUCCUUAGGUGAGAUGGCUAGCAAGCACACUACGAGACCGUUACAAAGGUUCACAUUGGUAAGGUGUAACCGCUAAGGAUUCUGGAUCAGCGACGAUGGGGCCCACCUCCGGGGGUACAAGACACACAGCACAGACCAAGCCGGAGGAGCAGGGACCAUUGAAGCUUACCACCCCUCUUGCCCACGCAGGUAAGUUACUCCCGAACCAACACGACCUAAUUAGUAAGUCAAGACCGUCCCAUUCCAGUCUUGUGGUUGCGCGGUUGUCCCAGGUUGUCGCUCUAUGAACCGGUCCUUAUGGAGUGUGGCCAACCAAGCACUAAGCGCCGUGCUGGCCCCCUAAACCAAGUUUCUAACAAAAACAUCUUUUAAGGAGACGUGAGCCGCUCAAGCACACAGCACAGAGAGCCACUCUCAGAAUUAAGUUGCAUAUACCAUUAAUCAAAUUUAAUUAAAAAGGACCAAGUGUGUUAUAGCGCAGCAACCUAGCACAACUAACCAAAAUGCAACCCAAAGGAUAUAUAUAGGAUAUAAAGUGGCUAGGAAAGUCCUUAUAGGCAUACAGUAUUAAAAUGCAGUAUGAAAUUGUAUUUAGAAGUGCUAGGAUGUUCAUGUUAUACUUGCCUUCCUCGUACUCUCCCGGCUGCUGCUCGAACUGCUCGGAAGAUGGCUGCUCCUGGUACUGGUCCAAAGGCUCCGCGUCUACUCACGAUCAUCAAGCAUAGUCCACACAUACACACAUGCACAAACAUAGCAAACUAUAAGAAAACAGUACACCAAUACAGUAGAACAGCACACAAAACUGACCUAGAACUAUUCUACACGUUACAACGAUCGCGAGGACAUAAAGAACACCUAAAACGGAGCUACGACGCGAAAACUACGCUUGAAACAAGGUUCAGGGACCUAUUUGCGAGAAAACUGGACUACAGGGGGUUCUGGACAAAAACCAGGGACCUAAACGAAAUUAAAGCAUAGACUCGGGGUCUAACGCGCUAAUACUCACGGCAUGGACGGCGGGCACUAAAACCUGAAAGCGCAGGGGUCUAAACGAAUAAAACUGGACUUAACUGCAAAUACUUUUGAACUACACGGGAGCGCGGGUUGAUUCCAGGAAAAGCCAGGGACUCUUUAGCAAGAUGGCAAGGCCGAACCGGUAUCUUUGACUAUCAGCCGUCAGAUCGAGAUCUGAUGGCUCGGAUCCGUCCUGAUCUAGAUCUAAUCACGGACGCCCACUUCGGAUCGAACGGUUCUGGGGAAUUGGGGGGUCCGGCGGCGGCGCUGGUCGCCAGUGACCAUUUCCGCGGCGGCGCGCGGCUCGGGCUCGCCGGAGCUCGGCGUUCCCGCCACUACGGGGGUCAAAUCUUCACGACUUCAAGGCGGGAAGCAUCACCGCGGCUUAGGGGGUUGACCUAGGGCUACAGCUGGGCCUAAAGAGGCUCGGGUUUCGCGCUCCAUGGUUCAGGGCGGAGGACAUCGCCGGCGAGCGAUGUUCCAGGGGCUAUGGCGGGUCCUAGGCCACAGAAUCUGGCGCAUAGACUUCAGGAAGAGAGUGUGAUGCUCACCAGGGGUUGCGGGGGCCCAAGCUGCGAUGGAAAGAGGAGGACGACGACGGCCGGCGGUGAAGGGCUCGGGCUCUCGCGGAGGAGGGUGAUGCCGAGGUGACCGGGGUCUUUGGCUGGCGUAGAUCGGCUCCAGGGACUCCUGUGGAGGUGGUCAAAGGGUUAAGACGGGUCGGGAUGCAAUGACGGCAAGGAAUUCCGACGACGGAGCGGCUCACCGGAGAACGUUCCUUCGGGAAAUUCAGUUGACUCCGAGGCGUAGGGCUUCGAUGCUGGGCUCGUGGAGCUUCGGGAUGGCGAGGGGGAGCUUUUGCGAGGGAUGUGGUGGUCCGGGGUGUGACGGAACGGCCGGUCGACGGUGAGGCCGAUGCGUCUGCGCGGCGGAGGGAGAAAAGAGGCGGCGGCUAGCUAGGGUUUGGGGCAGCGCUGGCGUGCAGGAUAAGGCGCAGGGGUUCCACGGGGCGGUUUAAAGGGAAGAGCCGGGGAUCGCGGGGUAACGUUCGGAAAGAGACCUCACUGGAGACUUCGGGCGCAGCGUUGAGCGGAGCAGAACAGAACGGAGGAGGAAGGAGAAGGGGAUGACCAGUGGGGCCGCUAGGUCAGAGAGAGGAAGCGAGGGAGUGGCGCGCGGGUGGGGAGGCCGAGCUGGCUGGCUGCUGGGCCGAGCUGAGUUCGAGCGUGGGAAGGGAAUGGGCCGGCGCGGCCCACGCGGGAGAAAGGAAAGAGAAGGGGUGCUGGGCCUCGGGUGGCCCAUGCGGGGAAAGGGAGAGAAGGGAGGGAAAAGUGCUGGGCUGGGCCAAAGGGUUUGGGCUGCUUCCUUUCCCUAUUCUUUUCCUUUUUCCUUUUCCACACUCAAACCAUUCAAACCUUUUCAUUUGAAUUCAAAUAAAUUUGAAUUCAAACCCAACACAAAUAAAACAAUGCACCAGCAUGAAUGCACAAGCAAGUUGACCCUAUAAUUGAAUUUAUUUUCUUGUGUUAUAGAUUGCUUUAAAUGCCACAGAAAUUUCAGAAAAACAUGGAACUUUCAUUUGAGCCAAAAAUAAAUUCAUUAAAAUUUAAGGAAAUUACCUUAGGGUGUUACACUAAUGAGGAAAAGGUCAAAAUAGAAGUUGUAGAACUUUUCAAACUCUAUAACUUUGCUUUAGGGCUCAAGUUCAGAAACCUAAAGUACAAAGUUUUAUUUCACCAUUUUGCACUCAAAUUAAUCUUUACAUAAAUCUUGUCCUAGUAGUGCAAAUCUUAUGAACUUUUGGGGCUUAUUUGCAAGCAAUUAAGGCUGGUCAUGAUGACAUUCACCUUUUUCACUUUGACCCUUGGUAAUUUUUGGAAAGUUACUUUAUACUUCAACUAAGUUACAUAAAAGGACUUGUACUUUCAUAAAUUUACACAAUUACCCUUAUUAUCAUAACUUUAUUAGAUUUUCACACAAUUUCACACACACCAAACAUUAUUUCUAUUAGUUUGCUCUAUUUGACACCUAGGGUGUCACAUCCGGGUAACUGUUACUCAUCUAAAGUUUCUCUGGGACCGGAGUCUCCGGACCCCUAUGCCCGGAGUAUCCAGACAUAUAUCCGGAGUAUCCGGGUAUCCUUCUCCCAACGGCUAGUUUCUGUGAGAGGGGGUAUAAAUACCCCCCAUAUCCCUUCAUUUACCUCUCUCUUGCUCAUUUCAAAACAGAACAAGCCAGCAAACAAAAGGAGAGCUCUCUCACUUUCCCUCUUCCAUUCUUGAGUGAUUUUCUCAGGGGAAUCAAGUGAGAUAGUUGCAAGAGCAAAGAUUCAUGCUAGCAAGCUUCCAUUCCAUCUCUUGAGCACAAAACCCUUAGCCGGUGGACUCAAGUACAUUACUCUUGGAGCUUCAAGCUCCUAGACGGCUAGGCGUCACUUGUGAGUGUUCAAGCAAGUUGUGAGCACCACAAGAAGUUUGUAAUCUUCAUUCCUCGUAGAGGAAUUCAUAGUAAGUAUCGUCGGGUUUGAGCGUUGGUCUCACCUUUGGAAGAGGAGUAUAGGGGUUCUGGAGCACCGUCUCUUGAAUCCAUCCUCAACGGAGACAUAGCUCCUUUGGGAGUGAACUUCGGGAAACAAAUUCUGUCUCCUUGUGCUUUUUACUAGUUUUAUUAUAUAUUUGCUUGUGACACUAGUCUUCUAGGGUUUGAGGUCGAUCUGCAUUUAUAUUAGUCUCUAGAGCAAGACAACUAUUUAGAAAUACUCCUAAGAUACUGUCGGUGUUUAACCGGCUGCCCACCGUGGGAUAUACCCAAGGUGGUAAGUUUUGGGUUAAAGGACGCCGAGAUCAGGAACUUGAAGGUGCAAGGAACACAAAGCUUAGACAGGUUCGGGCCGCAAGAAGCGUAACACCCUACGUCCUGUAUGGCGGUUUGUAUUGCCUUUGAUGUAGAAUGACCUAGUGAUCUUCUAUUUUGAGAGGGGUCCCUGACCUCCCUUAUAUACCCGAGAGGCCAGAGUUACAAAGAUGCUAACCAACCUCCGCUGAGGGAUCAUACCAAAACAUAUCUUCGAGUAGAUCCCCUCCGUGUUGGUUAGCUCUAUCUCCUAUUUAAACGGGAUAAACAAGAGAUAAACAAAAUGAAUAAGAGAUAAGACGGACUUAAUCUCUUAGACCUCUUUAAACUACGUUAUGUGCCCAGCCCGGUGGCCCCGGGUCUGACAAGCCCCCGAGCUCUUCGUAGCUGAGUACUGCAGGCUUAUCGAGUACUUUCGAAGCAGUCUUUGACUUCUUCUGAAGCUUCGUCUUGAAAACCUUCUUCGAGUACAUGCCUGGCUGCAUCGAAGCUAUGAGGUGCUCAUGCCCCGAAUUUUAUUUCUACUAUGGUGUGCGUUUGAAAAAUCGCACCCCAUAUGGAGUAACCCCCGAGCCUUAGGUUGAAUCAGGGAAUCAGGCUGAGGGUCCCAUUAAUCUGCAAUCCUGCUUAUCCUUCAAAAAAUUUGAAAAAUAAGUAGUCGAUGCCACGUAUCCCGCAGCCCCCGAGCCUUGAAUCCAAAUCCCACAAAAUUUGGAGAUAAGGAUCCAACAACCGUGGCAUGCAGACAAAAAAAAUGACAACUUGCGAAAUUACCAAAAUGAUGGUAUAGAUGAUGGGUAUUAGAUUAUUAAUUCGAAAAACCCCUUUUUUGGGGCUAACUAACCCUGAAAAAAUGGUUAAUCGAAUAUUUAAUUCAAACAAUCCACCAAAUGACCCCUCGACUUCGGAAUAUUCUUGGAAGUGACUCCUGAACUUCGAAACAGUAACUUUUCCCCACCCCGCUGGUUAUUUAACCCCGUGACAAAAGUAAGGAAAAAACCACGCUUUCAAUCCGCAUUCCGCCAAAAGCCACCAAAAUCCCCAAUCUGAGCCAAGCGCCGCCGCCAUCCCCCCAAGGAAAUCCUCCCGCUCCAACCUCCCCGCCACUCUCCCCGCAGCCCCCGAGCAUCUCGUGGCCAGCGAACUGGAGAUGGCACCCAAGAAAGCAGAGAUCGAAGAGAAGAAGACGGAGGAGGCGCAGCCUUCAACCGCAGAGUGGUCACACAGUAAGUGCUCCCUCAACCACCUUAAGAACCUAGUUUCCGAGGGGUUGCUGCAAGAAAAGAUCCUUGUCAAUUGGCACCCCUCUUACCGCAAACCUUUUCCCAUGGAAAAUGUUGACGAAAUCGUCACAUUUCUCCAUUUUGCCGAAAGGGGGUUGGCCCUCCCCUCUUGCUCCUUCUUCCGAGGCCUUCUGUAUUACUACGGGCUUGAGCUUCACCAUCUCAACCCAAAUUCUAUUUGCCACAUUUCAAUUUUCAUCUAUUACUGCGAGGCUUUUCUUGGAAUCGAACCCCACUGGGAUCUUUUCCGCUUCCUCUUCCGUAUCAAACCACAGCCCACCUCCAAGAACCUUUCCGUUGUAGGGGGCGCCGGCAUCCAACUGCGUCAGUGGGCCGGCAACAAAUACCUCACAUACAAAUUCCCCUCCAACCUUCCUGGAUGGAAAAACCGUUGGUUUUACAUCGAAAACCAUGCUCCCCAUCUGCCAACGAAGUCGAACAGACCACCUGUAAUAAGGGGAGAAUGGAACCUUGAACCCUCCGGCGGGGAGAUGGACCAAGUCAAGGAGCUGCUGGGCGUCAUUGAGGCACAGAAGAAGGAGGGAGUGACCGGCGCCUCCGUCAUGUUCGCAUUUUACAAACAUCGCGUCCAACACAUCCAGCAGCGACAUCGCCUGGGAUUCGAGUACACAGGACCCGCUGAUCCUUCUCGCAUGUGCGCAGAGGUUUUGCCAGAUGAAGUCGCGCUGCAGUGAGUUCGGCGGGUGCUGCUAGACGUGGACGCCGUGCCAUACGUGCCCACAUUGUUUUCUGCACGGAAUCCGCCCAAACCAGUAAGUAUUCGACUUCUUUUUGCUGAAGAUAACCGCUUUUGCUUCGUUAACUAAAGAGCUCUCUGCAGGGACACACGGAGGUGUACCGCAGCUACCCGCCGCGACCUGACGUCCCCCGACCGGACCACCUCCUCCCCUCUGCUGCAGCUAAAGCCAAGAGGGCUCGCCUUGCUGCAGCUCAAGGCAGCAGCGAGUCCACCGAAGGCGUGAGCUCGCAGGCGGGAGAAGGAACCGACGGAGAAACGCGCCGGGACAACUCCUCCGAACAGAGCAUGGAGUUGACCGGUGCUUUGCCGCCGGUGCCGCAAGGCCAUCGACUGGUGCGCAAGCGCAAGGCGCAGGAACUCGAGUCCACCGGGUAAGAGCCUACUUGUUUGUUGUAAUGUGUUACCUUGAUGCUGAGUUGUACUUAUAACAUCCACCUGUAGUCCUUCCGCAUCCUCCGCCCGGGCCGAGCCCGAAGGAGAAAGGGCGAGCCCGGCGACUGCCGCCGCUGUCACCAUCGCCGUGGCGGGGUCCGCGCCACAAGCCGGUGAAACCCCGCCGCCGGCAACGGAGACGCCGCGUCAGGCCGUGCGGAUGAAGAGAGCCAUUAAGAAAAAAUCUGUACUGUAAGUCUGCCUCCUGUUGCACUACAAAUGAUUUGAUCUUUCGGCUUAUGUGUUGACUAACUUCGACUUCAUUAGUGCUGCAAGUGCCGCGGACCUCCAGCUGACGCCAACUUCGACUGCCCCAGCCCCCGGGUCUUCAACCCGGGAGGGAUCAUCAAGUGCUGGGCCAGUCGCCGCUGCGUCAGCCCCCGAGGCAACGGCCCCCGAAGGGUCGACGCCCACGGAGCCAACCCCCGGGGCCGACACCGCGCUGCCCGACCUGCCGCCUCCCGAGCUCCAACAAGUCGAGGCCGGGGCCGGUGGUGAGAAACAGGUCGACGCCCCUGGCGCCGCUCCAAAAGAUGGCGCAGGUGAGUGUCUGACCACCCCGGCUAGCUACCGGGAUCCGCAUGCUGUAUGCUGAGAACACUUGUGAUUGCAGGUGCCCAGCAGCUGACUACUGAAGAAGCCGUGGGAAUCUCCGGGAGACCCGAUGAGCUGCUGCUGGCCGGAUCGGGCAGUCAGGAAGCCGUUGCCACCGACCUGACAGACGACCUGCUACUGACGGAUGACAAUGUCGAUAUCCUCAAGAAGGUGCAUGACUUUACUAUGGUAAGUCCUGAGAGCAUUUUCUGACAGUGGCUAAGUCGAGUUGCUAAUCUGGCUUUUCCCUUUUUAUGCAGAGUGUGAUUGCCCGCUCCCGGAAGCAGGCAGAGGAAUUGAAGACCCUUGCCCGCGACCGUAAGUAACUCGAUGCCCUGAGGAAGCGCCUUGAUGAUGAGAAGACGGAGAAUGUACAUCUUGAGAAAGUCAACGCCGAGCUCCAGCGACAACUCGAGAAACAAAAGAAGGAGCUCGAGGCGCAUAAAGAGCAGCUCAGGGAGCAAAAGAAGGCGCACCAAGUUAAACCAUUGCUUCCCUCGGGUAUUUUGCUCUGUAUGACUCACCCUGGGUUCUGAAAAGCUUUCCACCACAGAGCUUAGGAGAAAUUUAAUCAGUAAAGAAGAGCUACUUACUGACGUGAAGAACCUGCUCUAUCGCUGUACAGAUGACGUCGAGAGGCUGCGGAAGGUGAUCGGCGACACUGAGCAACAGUUCGUCGACAGCCUUCGGCGAAUCAAGACGCUGGGCGAAGAACUCGAGAGCAUCAGGGGGGCCGCCCGGGAGCUGGUGGACGUGGUGGACCCACCAGAAGAAGGCAAAGCGAACCCCUGGCCCCUGCUAGAGCGUCUCCGUGAGGCCCCGAAGAAAGUGAUGAAGUUCCUUUCCGAGGCACCUGUCACGUGCGUCAACAAUGCCCUCGCAAUCGUGAAGUCCUUCCUGCCGGGCGCGAAGCUAGAGAUAUUUGCUGAAGGCAUGGCGGCGGACUGCACCGAGGAGCAAUUUGACAAAUACCUACUAGAGGCUCAACCUAUAUCAGAACACAUAGUUCAAAGUGUAAUGCAGGAUUAGGGUACUGAAAACAAGUAUUCACUCCCUUGUAUAUAUGGUUUCCUUUGAUGUCUCUACUUGUGUAUGUGCCUGUGCUGAAUUGAUAUCCAGGCUUACAAGGCAUAAGUAGUAGACGCUACCUUGGGUGCAACGACCCUGAAGGUAGCCGUAGCUCCAUGUAGAAACUUAUCUAACAAGUUGUCCACAACCCGAACUCGUGGGUCUAAAACUGUUAGAAAAGAACGCGAGCAUCGUCGCACAAUUGCCAGGUUUUAAGGCAAAACUACUCCGAGUGCAUUGACUCUGGACGUAGUCAGGGUCGCUCCUUAUAUGAGCGUGCUCCGCAAGUUAAGUGGGAUCCGGACGGACGGAUCGGACUUGUUGGGAGCAAAUGCGGGCAUCGCCGCUGUUGUGCCGUGCUCUUGGCAGAACCGAAACUACUCUGGUACACAGGAUGUAGUCGAGGUAGCUCUUUAUAUGAGCUUAUCCAACAACCUGGGUAUGAACCAGUCGAACGGAUCGAUUGUGUUGGGAAAAUGCGACUGCUGUCGCGUGCGACCAUCCAGGGUCGCGGUGAAAACUGACAUGGAGCAGAUUUGAUCGGGGCGGAGGUUUCCGUCGAGAGAUGAAGUCGAUAAGUUAUGAAUGUGGCCAUAACCUUCGUAUCAUUCAUGACAAGUAGUCGAUUCACACAAAUGUUUUCACGUGACAACGGCCAUCGUGCGCCUGUGAAGGAGAGUAUAACCCGAACGUUGUGGCAUACAGCCUCCAAAUUGUUUCGAGGAAAAGAGAUCUUCCACGCCCCCGGGGAUUGGGACAUCACCGGGCAUUUUCUUAUGGGUAGAACUUACGCAGGUUCUAAAUGUUCCAGGAAUUCAGGAUGUCAUACCCCUCGGGACAUUGUAGUCGAUAUGACCCUGGUCGGGUGACAUGCUUGACGACGAAUGGUCCUUCCCAUCUUGAGUUGAGCUUGUGCAGGCCGGAUUCAUCCUGAACGCGACGCAAAACCAAAUCACCAAUGCUGAACGACCGCUCCCUGACGUUGCGAUCGUGAUAUCGACGGAUCCCCUGCAGGUAUUGGGCUGACUGAACGAGAGCGGUGCAGCGGACUUCUUCCACAGAAUCGAGCUCUAACUGCCUCGCCUCGUCCGCCUCGCCUUCGUUAUACAUUUCGAACCUGGGAGACUUCCACAUGAUGUCGGCUGGUAAAAUAGCCUCAGAUCCGUAUACGAGGAAGAAAGGCGUUUGCCCUGUGGCUUUGGACGGUUGGGUCCGAAGCCCCCAGACGACAUGCGGCAACUCAUGUACCCACUUGCCUCCCUUUUUGCUGUUUUCAUCAUAUAAUCUCUUCUUGAGGCCGUCAAUUAUCAAGCCGUUCGCCCUUUCGACUUGUCCAUUGGCCCUUGGGUGUGCGACUGAGACAUAUUUAACUUCGAUGGAAGCAUUCUCGCAGAACUCCCAGAACUGGUUCGCCGUGAUGUUUGAUCCCAAGUCCGUGAUGAUGGUGUUGGGGAAGCCGAAACCAUGCAAAAUAUCUGAGAUGAAGUCGACGACUCGAUCUGGCGUGAGCUUGGCUAUCGGCUUGUACUCGAUCCACUUAAUAAACUUGUCGAUGGCCACCAGAACAUGGGUGAAACCGCCUGGCGCCAUCAUGAAGGGCCCGAUCAUGUCAAGACUCCAAUAGGCAAAAGGCCAGGAUGGCGGUAUGGUGAUGAGGCUGUGAGCUGGAAUAUACGUCUGUUUGCCGAAGAAUUGACAAUUUUGGCACCUGCGCACGAGAUCCUCCGCGUCGGUCACUGCGGUGGGCCACCAGAAACCGGCCCUGUAUGCUUUCCCCACCAGCGUUCUUGAAGCCGUAUGGUUGCCGCAGACGCCUUCGUGGAUCUCCCGCAGUAUGUCGUAACCAUCUUCCUUUGUGACGCACUUCAUGAGAACUCCUGACCGAGCGCCACGCCGAUAGAGCUUGCUAUCAACCAGGACGAAGCCCUUGCUUCUUCGUAAGACGCGUGCCGCCCACGCCGAUAGAGCUUGCUGUCGACCAGGACGAAGCCCUUGCUUCUUCAUAAGACGCGUGCCGCCUCUGUGCUCCUGGCGUCGAUUCCCGCUGGUAGCCAUUGAUCUUGAAUGAAGUCGAUAAAAGCCUCUCGCCAGUCCUCUUCGAGCACCAUAACCUCCUGAUCGGGUUGUUUGGGACCCACGUCGAUGGUUACCUGCGGAGAAGACUUGAUGGAUGGCUGCUUGAGCUCCUGGACGAAGACUCCCGACGGGACCUGGGCGCGCGUGGACCCCAGUUUGGAUAGGAUAUCCGCGCCAACAUUGUGCUCCCUCAAUACAUGAUGAACCUCCAGGCUGGAAAAAUUGCUUUCCACUUUGCGCACUUCCUGUACAUAAGCCUCCAUUGUCUCCUUGUUACAGUCCCAUUCCUUGUUGACCUGCUGAACAACAAGAAGAGAGUCACCAUAUACAAGUAGGCGCUUGAUCCCUAGUGAUAUCGCCAAACAAAGACCGUGAAGCAAGGCUUCAUACUCGGCUUCAUUGUUGGAUACCGCCCACAGGAUCUGAAGGACAUAUUUCAAUUGUUCACCUCGUGGAGAAAUAAGCAGAACACCGGCGCCGCCGCCGUCGAGCUUGAGGGACCCAUCAAAAUACAUGGUCCAGUGCUCUGGUUGUCCACCGGGGUUGGGACUUGAUUCUCUCUCCAUUCAGCCAUGAAGUUGACUAGAGCCUGUGACUUGAUUGUAGUGCCUGGCUUGAAGUCUAUUGACAAAGCCCCCAGUUCCACUGCCCACUUGGAUAUGUGCCCCGGGGCAUCUUGAUUAUGAAGAAUAUCCACCAGCGGGAAGUCUGUGAUCACAGUGAUCUUGUACUCGUCGAAGUAAUGGCGCAGCUUUCUUGAUGUGAUUAAGAUUGCAUACAAGAGCUUUUGAACAGCUGGAUACCGUACCUUGGAUUCCGUGAGGACUUCACUGAUGAAGUAGAUAGGCCUCUGCACUCCAAAUGCAUGGCCUUCCUCGCCUCACUCGACUGCAAUAGCACUGCUGACAACAUGAGAUGUUGCCGUGAUGUAAAGUAGUAGAUCCUCCCCUGGCAACGGUGACGUAAGGAUCGGAGGUGACUGAAGAUGAUGUUUCAGAUCCUGCAAGGCCCGCUCAGCCUCCUCCGUCCAUUUGAACUUAUCCUGGCGUUUCAGGAGCUUGAAGAAAGGUAGUCCUCUCUCCCCGAGUCGGGAGAUGAACCUGUUCAGGGCCGCCAUACAACCUGUUAACUUCUGCACAUCCUUGAUUGUGGCCGGAGCCUCCAUAUCAGUGAUGGCCGUGAUCUUUACAGGGUUGGCUUCAAUGCCCCGGUUGCUGAUGAUGAACCCGAGCAAUUUCCCUGAAGGCACUCCAAAGACGCACUUGGUGGGAUUGAGUUUCCACCAAAAUCUGCGCAGACUGCUGAAUGUUUCCUCCAAAUCUGCAAUUAAGUCGCUGGAUGCCCUGGUCUUGAUGACGACGUCAUCCACAUAAGCCUCAACAUUCCGGUGCAGCUGAUCCGUGAAACACAUCUGGAUCGCACGCUGAUAGGUUGCUCCUACAUUCUUCAACCCGAAGGACAUUGUUUUGUAGGCGUAAGUCCCGUACGGGGUGAUGAAAGCAGUCUUGAUUUGAUCCUCCUCCUUGAGCGCGAUCUGAUGAUAACCUGAGUAACAAUCAAGAAAACAAAGAAGGACACAACCAGCUGUCGAAUCGACAACUUGGUCAAUACGCGGCAGCCCAAAAUGGUCUUUUGGGCAAUGCUUGUUGAGAUCAGUGUAGUCGACACACAUUCUCCAUUCAUUGUUCUUUUUCUUUACAAGAACGAGAUUCGCUACCCACUCUGGAUGGAUUACUUCUUUAAUGAAUCCAGCCGCGAGAAGUUUAGCGAUCUCCCAUUUAAUAGCCUCACGCUUGUUGUGGGCAAACCUCCGCAGGCAUUGCUUUUUAGGCGUAGCCUUCGGGUGUACAUUCAAAGCAUGCUCGAUCAACUCCCUGGGCACCCCUGGCAUGUCCGCUGGUUUCCAUGCGAAUAUGUCUCGGUUAGCCCGAAGGAAGCUGACGAGCGCGAAUUCCUAUUUCUCACCUAAGCCGGCGCCGAUGAUAGCGGUCUUAGAUUAAUCUCCCUCCUGAAGCUGGAUCGACUUGAGGGCCACGUCAUCAGUCGACUGGAUGCUCGACUUGCUGGCCUUCUUGGAAGGAAUCUCCAGCCUGAAUUGGGAAAGCUGCUGCGCGGCCGCGAGUACUUCUCCCGAAGCAUCUGGCACGCGAGUAGUCGAAGCAUAUUGGAUCGCCUCCUGAUUACAGUCAUAUGACUUCUUCAGGUCGCCACGGAGGGUGAGUACCCCACUGAGUCCUGGCAUCUUAAGAAGCAAAUAUACGUAAUGCGGCACUGCCAUAAACUUGGCGAGUGCCGGUCGACCCAAUAUAGCAUGGUAAGAAGAUUCGAAGUUAGCCACCUCGAACUUGAUGAACUCGGUACGAUAGUUCUCCCGCGUGCCAAAGGUGAGUGGGAGGACCACCGUACCCAGCGGGUGUGCCGCGUUACCUGGGACGAUGCCGUAAAAGGGGGACUUGCUGGAAACCAGCAUGUCCUUGAAGUCCAGGCCCAUUUUCUUCAGAGUGAUGACGAAGAUGAGAUUGAGCCCACUCCCGCCAUCAAUGAGGACCUUGGUGAGCUCGACCUCUGCCACCACAGGAUCCAGGACUAAGGGGAACUUACCGGGCUCCGAAAAGCUCAUCCACUGGUCGUCGCGGGAGAAUGAGAUGGGGACCUCCGACCAACGGAGUGGUCGUGGUACCGCCGGCUCGAUGGACAAAAUCUCCAGGAGAAGCAGCUUCUGGUCCCGCCUGGAACCAAAAUCCUCGUCUCCCCCGAAGAUGACGUUGACAACCUUCGAAGCGUCUUGAAACUUCGGGUUGCGCCCAUGAUCUUCUUGAUCAUCAUCCUCGGGUUCUUUGUCAGCAGGCUUCUUGUUCUUCUUUCCGCCACCGGAGUUGCUGAACGUCCUCCGAAGGUGGUAGCAGUCGAUGGCGGCGUGGUUGGCGCCCGGAUGCCACGGGCACUUCUUCUGCAGGAGCUUCUCGAACUCCUCCUGCGUCGUCGACUUCUUGCCCCGCGAAGGACGAUCGAUAGCCGUGAUGACAUCAUCUGGCUUUCGUUUCCGGGGUGGACCCGAAAAAUCCCGCUGGCCUUUGUCGUUGCGGUUGUCGUUUGGAUGCCUCAGAUUGCUAUCCUGACACCGUGGGAACCGCUCCCGCAUCUUCUCCUCCUGUUCGGACCAAUCGUGCAUCAUAUCACGAAGGCCCGCAACAGUCUUUGGCCUGUUCCGCCCGAAAUCCCUGUAGAUGCCCGGGUCGGUGAUGCCGUUGUAGAAGCAAUCGAUGAUGUCAUCCUCCGAGAUGUUCACGAUGGUAGCGCGGACGUCGAAGAAACGACGCGUGUAGGACCGCAGAAGCUCGUUACGUUCUUGCUUGCACUGGGAAAGAUCGUGUCGAGUACCUGCACGGGCAAUCGCUCCCUGGAAAUUGUCGAUGAAGACCUUCUUAAGUCGUUCCCAGGAGUCGAUGGAGUUGCUGCCGAGGCUCUCCAGCCAAGUGAGCGGCGCGGGAUCCAAAGCCAUUGGGAAGUAGACGACUUUGGUAAUGUUUGAACCCCUGCUACCUCGAUGGCCGUGGAGUAACAACGGAGCCAUUGUUGAGGAGCCUGCUUACCGUCGUACUUGGUAAUGCCGAUGGGUUUGAAGCCCUCUGGGUACUUGUAGCUGCUGAAACGUACAGAGAAAGCAGGAAACCGAUCGCUACAGUCAGUACCUUCAUUUUCGACUUCUUCGCGGGUCUUGCGCCUGGAAGAGAUCACAGUCCGCGCGUCGCGGCUGUCAUUGAUGUGCUGGCGCAGAUCCUCUGGAGGAAGUCGAUGAUUGGCUUGUCGCAGAUGACCUCCUUGCGGUGGCUGCUACCUCCCGCCAGGGGCCUGACUCCCGCGAGCGUUGUCGUUGCUGAGAUGGCUUCGAGGGCGGCCACCAGCCGUUCGGCUGUGAGCCUGACUUUGACUCUCACCCACGCGCUCCUCUCUGAUGGUGGACGCCGGAUUGUGUUGAUCCAGCUGGAUCCAAGCCUUCUGCGCGUAGAGAAGUGCUUGACGCACCUCCGGAUCAUGGCUGUGCUCGAGAAUAGCCGUCACCCUGGCGAUGUUGGCCACCGGAGUCCUGAAACCCCAUUCACUUACGGCGGCAAACUCAGGAUCAAGCUCGUGAUGCAUAGAUCGCCUACGCUCGUUGGUUCUCCUCCGCCGGAUUGCGCGGGCCCUGUUCCUGGCCCUCCGCGCCUCAUGAUCAGCGUCGUUCUCAUCGCCAGCAUUGGCCAUGAUCUCAUCUUCGGAGAUCGCUUCAAAGUUGACGAUGGGAGGAUCCCCAUCAUCCUCGCCUUCUUCGGCCAUCAGCACCUGGCGGGAGGAAAGGUCAUGAGAGCUUUCAUCGACUAGUUCAGUCGACCCCUCCACCUCAGCGGCCAAUGGCCUGCCCUCUUGGAAGGGCAAUGGCUCGAGGUGAGCCACAAGCCGACCCUCUUCCUCGAGUAGAUCGGAGAGCAUCAUGCUCCUCCAAUGCACAAUGCGCCCCUUCAGCAAAGAGGUGAUCACCAAAUCACCGGAACCAGAACAACCCGAAGCCCCCCGACACGCAGUGGCUCCAGGCUUGCCGUCCCGGAGCAGCAAGUCCAGAUCCUUCUCUAACAUGGAGAGGGACCCAGAUACGUUGGCCUCCUGAAGAUCAGUGGCCGGUUUGCAUGAGCCGAGUUGAGAUCGGCCAUGCGGAUCCCUAGAUUGGAACAAGUCCAAACCAGGGGAAGUUGUCGCAACAUCAGAAGAAGUCGAGCCUGGAGAAGACUCCAUCUCGAUCUGUGCUGCGGAAGUAUGGAGCGGCAAGUUGUCGAGCUCGUUGACGAACUUGUCGAGGCCGCUGCGAGGAUCCGCAGCGAAGGUUUUUGGCCUCAUGUCGACGAGGAAUCGCCGAAAGUUGCCCGCACCAUCUGCGAUGCAAACCCACGAGCAAAAAAUGAAUGUCGUACCCCGAGAGGGAACUGACCUGACGAAAUUGAAAGAUGCCAUCGAGCUCGCUGGUGGAUCUUCGACGCACUCCCCUACCUGGUGCGCCAGCUGUCGGUGUUUAACCAGCUGCCCACCGUGGGAUAUACCCAAGGUGGUAAGUUUUGGGUUAAGGGACGCCGAGAUCAGGAACUCGAAGGUGCAAGGAACACAAAGCUUAGACAGGUUCGGGCCGCAAGAAGCGUAACACCCUACGUCCUGUAUGGCGGUUUGUAUUGCCUUUGAUGUAGAAUGACCUAGUGAUCUUCUGUUUUGAGAGGGGUCCCUAACCUCCCUUAUAUACCCGAGAGGCCAGAGUUACAAAGAUGCUAACCAACCUCCGCUGAGGGAUCAUACCAGAACAUAUCUUCGAGUAGAUCCCCUCCGUGUUGGUUAGCUCUAUCUCCUAUUUAAACGGGAUAAACAAGAGAUAAACAAAAUGAAUAAGAGAUAAGACGGACUUAAUCUCUUAGACCUCUUUAAACUAUGUUAUGUGCCCAGUCCGAUGGCCCCGGGUCUGACAGAUACCACUAGCUUGCCUAAAUUUACUCGACCUAAAUUGCAGCAUCAAUAUCUUAUUAGUGCAAACAUUAUUUCAUACCCGAACUCUCUGGACCAUAUUUACGAAAACUCCGGACACAAAACCCAGAGUAUCCGGACAUCUGUGUUACUGACAUUGUUUGAAGUGCUUUAAGUUUCAGAUUUGCCUAUUCAACCCCCCCCCCUCUAGGCAUCUUGGGAUCCUUUCACUUCGGUACUGAUGUCCUUUCACCAAGAAGCGUUUGUACCCAAGGUAAACUACCUUUCUAGAACCUUCCAGGAAAGAUGAUAUGGUGUCAUCCAUGCAGAUAGUGCAUCCUGUCCUACCUUUGACUUAUCCCUAAAGGACAAAUAGAGCCUGGUAAUUAUGGAUGGUGAUAAAGAUAAUGGCUCUUAGAUUAAAGGUCUACCGUGUAAAACCUUCAAUGAUAUCGAUACCCUCUUUCCGUAGAGUUUCCAUCUCUUGCAUCAGAGUCUCAAGGAAAAUAUCUAUAUCGAUACUAGGAUGCUUGGGUCCAUGUAUAAGGAUGGAUAGCAGAAGAUACUUUCUCUUCUGGCACAGCCAUGUAGACAGGUUGUACAUCAUCAAGAUCACUAGUCAUGUGCUGUGAGUGCUAGUCCUUUCACAAAACGGAUUCAUUCCAUUUGUACUCAACGCAAACCGAACAUUCCUUGGAUCAUUUCCAAAUUCCAAAUAAUACCGCUUAUCGAACUUCUUCCACUAGCAAGCGUCAGCUGGAUGUCGAAGCUUUCCGUCGCCCUUCUUGCGCUUAUCUGAAUCCCACCGGCGCAUCAAUUCAGCAUCCUUUGGGUUGAAGAAAUGCCUCAUACGAUCGGCAACUGGGAGGUACCAUAUAACUAUAGCAGAAAUUCUGCUCUGCUUCUUAGAGAUGCCUAAAGUACUAUCUGUUGGCUUAAUAGAGGCAACACUAUUCGUUGCAUCCUUCCUCUUCCUUUUGUUCCCAUCUCCUGUACCUUGAUUGUCACCACCACAAUAAUCUUCAUUGUUUUUGAAUUGACUUGCAGAACAUACAUGGCAUUUAUCAAAAUCCUUGAAAGUAUCCCCACGAUACAAAAUACAAUGAUUUGGGCAUGCAUGAAUUCUUUCCACACGCAUCGUGAACAGGCUGAAAAGCUUCUUUGCUCGAUUGUUGGUAGGCACUUUAUUGGGAUUUGCAAGAAACCAAGCCAAGAUACGCAUGAGAUAAUUGAAACUACCGUCUGACCAGCUGUGCUUAGCCUUUCGGGUCAACAACUCAAGUAUGAAACGAAGAACGGUCCAGUAUUUUGCAUAUCCUCUAGAUCGGUCAUACAUAUUUUUCUCUGCUAAUUUUUUCACCGUCUCAAAGUUUGCCAACCCCUUAGCACUACCAACCAAUAGCUCCUCGUUGGUGUGACGCAACAACUGGCUCAGAAAAUCACUGUCAUCAAGUUCAUCAUCACUACUAUCAUCACUGCCACCAUCGAUGGGCCCCCGUCGACACCAUCACCAUAGCCUCCACCCACAUCUUCAUCGCUGCCAGCAUCAUCAAAAUCAUCAUAAGCAUCAAACAAUCUAUAAAACUCAACGUCUUAUAUGAUUUCAUCGAGUGGAUUCUCGGUGGUGGUGCUUUCUCGAUAUAAUACGUCCAGAUCAUGUAGUUAUCUACAAAACCACCCACCAACAUAUACGAUCUGAUUGUAGUUGCAUCGCUGAAUACUCUCAUAUUCUUGCAGAUUUUCCAUAGGCACAGUAUCCUCUGUGUCUUCUCAGUUCAUACGUGUUUUUUCUGUACAUUGAAUGAAUUUAUUAAGUUCUCCAAGGAAAUAGGCCUCCGUACUUCGUGCUUUGUACAUCCAUGUCCUAGAAACAAAUAAUUUAAAUAGAUUAAAAUAAUCUCUUCAAUUAUUUGAUAAAUAAAUAGUAAAUAAAUAUAUACUUUUAUAUAUGCUUAGAUAUUGGAAAAAGUCAAAUUAACAUGUACUAACUAAAAAAAUCAAAACCCAACCUAUUAUUGCACCACCAAAUCUUGGGGAAAAAGUAUCUUGCAUGUAUGUAAAUAUAAAAAAUCAAAUCUUCUUCUCUCUCCUCCAUGGAUCUAGAAAUUUAUUUACUUAGUAAUGAAGAUUGGGCCUAAAUGAUGAUUACAUAAUCUUGUUCUCCUACUAAUAUAAAAUAACAUAACUUCAUCCAAAAUUGAGGCAAAUGGAGCCCCAAAUAGCAAAUCCACACCAUGGAGAUCUAACUACAGGUAAGAGAGCUCCAUUUGAACCUUAAAACUACCUAAAAAGCUUAAAAAAGAUAUUGGAUUAGCAUCAACUUACCUCCUAGAGCCCCCAACUCGAAGGAAAUUAAUUUUAAAACCUCCCUUCCCCUUUUUUUUUAAUUUUUGGGCAGCUCCCCUGAGCAACCAACGGGCUGUCGGGAGGAGGAAGAAGGCUUGCAUCCAGAUUUCUAUGGGCUCAUUUUCAGGGCGGAUGCCGUCACCUGUUCCUAAAGAUGCAUUUUUAUGGGCGGGUCAACUGCUAUAGUAACCACGCUCCUUUUGUAGGAACGGGUUACAUUUUGACCCGCUCUGGAAAAAAUGGAGUGUUGCUACGAGAUCGCUUUUGUAGUAGUGGUUUCAAAACGUAGUUCAUUUUAGUUUUUUCUAGAUUUACAGUGUUUGCUGUGCAUAUAGAUAUAACAGUAGAAAUCUUACCGAGCAAAGCCGCACCUUUUGGUGAUUGGGCCAGUGUUUUUUUUGUUUCAAAAUAGUUUUAGUUGGUGGUAGGUGAGGUUCAAAGCUGAGUUACAUGAAAUUUUCGUUUGCUAUCAUCGCUAGAGGAUAGUUUUGCAGGACCGUUUUUCUUCCUUUUGCAGCAGUUGUGCUUAAUUUGUGGCUCUGAGUAAUUCUGGACGGGUCAUUUCAUCGGUAUAUUUUUUCCUCAAUGCAGUUAUGAACCUGAGGUGUGCAACAAGGUUGCUUGUUUCAGGUUUGGCUGAUGUGCUUGGGUCUCUGUCUGUUCGUGUUUAGUGAUCGCUCGAUCCUCCAUCCAAAGUCUCUGUCGCCUGCUCGCUAUUCUUUCUAGAUAUAACUUAUAUCUGAUAUAGGUUCAGGGAUAAGUUACCAAAGGUGCAUCUCUUUCGUUACAACUACAAAUGUGAGAACUUUUCUAUGUUGAAGCUAUCAGAAAAUUAAGUCUGCUCUGAUCGAGUGGACCUGAUUGAGGAGACACACAGUUGUACAAAUAAGGUAGAUAGGACUGUCGUUGAGAUUGUUACAUCGCCCAGGGCCCCUAAGCAAAGUGAUGCUGCUAGAUGGAUAAGGUUUGUUCUAGUAGCAGGAAGACGUUUGUACCAGUUUAGAAGAGAGUUUAACCUCCGCAGGUCUUAUCCUUUUGGUACAGGAGUCUCUCUUUUUCUUUUCUUAUUUUUGCGAAACUGGUACAGCAGGAGCCUCUAUGAGUCUAUAAACCAAAACUCCACAGCAUUGCGAUUCCCUGGUGCUUAAACCAUAGCCACCAUCAACCAAUCUCGAUUUGUAACCAUAAUUUUAUUAUUCCAAAUAACUGCAAUUGCCAACUCAGCAUUACUGUUGAUAGGUGUCAUUACAUGUUUCCCUUCAUCUCACAUGCACAUCCAAAAGUGAGAUUUCAGUCUUACUAACAAUUCGUGUUGACACAGCAAAAGUUGCAGUGCUCCUACCACUUCAUUUCUUAUGAGCAUGUACCGUAAGCAUAUACCGGGAGAGUUCUCAUGUUCCUCUUUCCAGAACAUGGAGAAAUAAAACGUCAUGUUUUCUCUCAAUGAAUUUUUCCCAAUGUCAAAUGUAGCUAUUGAUCUGAAUUUGGACAGUAAUCUAUACCAAACAUCUCAAAUUUAGUUGAAAUUGAAUAUGUAUUCACCAAGGCACGAGUGUCAUCUUGUAUCACAUAGAAAAUGCAAGAUUGUUUGCGAAAUGUAUUAUAAAGCUAUGUAGUUGUCAUAUCUGAAGCAUUGUAUUUAAUUGAAUUCAACCAUAUAAGAUCUUUACAGGCAUAUUCGAAACUAGAAAGUAAAGGCUUGGGAUAGUGGAGCUGCAGAUUUUCUAGGUGAAGUCUAUUUUUUUGAGACAAAUCAGAGUAUUAUAACUGCAUGUUAAAUCAUUUUUUUUCUAAGCUGACAUUUCAUUAGGCGGAGCCCCCAAACCAAAUGUCGUAUUAACUUGUAAUAUAAUUAAGAAAUGGCGAAUCAGUUCUUACAAGUAGCAUUACAAUAUAUGUCUAUCUAGAGUGUACAUCUAAAUAAGUAACCUGUGAAAUAAGCAACACUCGGACAAGGGAGUUCCUCGAUCAACACGGGGCGCUGGGCUCGUAGUUCUGCCCCUUCUGCCCUACCGUGGCGGAAGACACUGACCACCUGCUCUUUUCGUCCCCUCGCGUCGCCAUGUUCUGGGCCUCGAUCUGCCUCGGUGCGCCGCCGCAUGGUGUGCCGACCUGAUGAGGGCCGUCCCCGUCUCGGCAGGCCCCCUCCGGCACACCGCCAUCCUUCUCCUCCUCUGGAUCGUAUGGAAGAGUGUUAGUACCCCAUCAUCUCCAGCCAGGCCGGCAACACUCCGUCAAAGCUCCACGCCCAAGAAGCCCAAUGCAUGUGUCACUGGACCGGAAUGGGUCCACUCGCUUGCAUGCGAGCAACAGGGCUGAGCCCAUGUACGAGAACUAUAUCUAUGCGAGUGAAAGGAAGAGAGAGGGGGAAAAACAAAUUGUACACGUAUCUUCUUUCCUAAGCUGUCCUCUGCUCUUCCUUCCUAAUCCUGUUCUUCCGAUUCCCGAAUUCGAUUACCCCUUGUUUCCUACUCCCUGCUACCUUCUCGCUGCUAACAAUUGGUAUCAGAUUAGUCGAUCCUUGGGGUUCUUCAGUUCUGAUCUUAUUCUCUAAUCCAUCGAUCGAUUUCGCAAGGGAUUUGGUAGAGCUCUGUCAGCACGAUUCCAAUCCGUGAAUUGUGCUGAAAUCUCGUAAUUCCAGUCCAUGCUUACUCGAUCUGUGGCGAAUAGAUCACACUGGAUUCCCAUCCGCCGCACGAUCAUUUCACCAGGCUGCAGCGAAGCCAAGGCGCCAUGAAUCCCGAACACAAGCUCCUCCUCGACGAGAUGUCCAAGCGUAUCUCCGAUGAGUUCUCCAAGCGUUUCUCUGAGAAUGACUCGAAGUGGAACCAGCACCUCUCCGACUUCGAGUCCGAUCUGGAUCGCAAGAUCUCGGACUUCACCACCACCCAGGACGCGCGCGUCGCCAUUCUCGAGAGGGCGGCAUCGGCGGUGGAUGCGUGGCGCCCCGAGAUUGACGCGUCCGUCAACGACAUCCGCCUCGAGGUGAAGAAGCUGAACAUCCACUGCGAGCGGGCGGCUCUCGAGCGCCGUUACCCGGCUCCAGCAAUCCUUCCAUCACCACUACCACCAGCUGCCGAGCGCCCAUCUUCCGGAUCCACAGCUGACAGGCCCAGCGGGCACCGCCUCGACUUGUUCCACCGGGAGGAUGACCAUGGGGUCGUCACGACCUUGGUCCAUCCCCCGGUCAAGGGUACGUGCUCACCUCCACUUCCACUUCCUACACCUGUUACAUCCGGUUCUCGCUACGGACUGUCCGGCUCAGGGAAAUUGCCUAAGCUUUCAUUUCCUCUGUUCACUGGCUCCCAACCUAAGCUAUGGAUUAGUCGCGCAGUAGAUUAUUUUGAUCUGUGUGCUGUUGAGGAACAUUUCUGGGUUCGUGUAGCUGCUAUGCACUGCACAGAUGCGGCAGCCAGAUGGCUCCAAUCUGUUUCCCUGAAACUGAAAAGUUGUUCCUGGUCCGAUUUUUGCACUAUGAUACUAGAUAGGUUUGGUUGCGACCACUAUGAAAUGCUCAUCAGGCAGCUGUUUCACAUUAAACAGACUGAUAGUGUUUCCUCUUACAUUGAGAAUUUUGCUGAACUUGUUGAUCAAUUAGCAGCUUAUUCAGGCUCUACUGAUCCCCAAUUCUAUACACAACGUUUCAUUGAUGGCCUAAAAGAUGAUGUAAAAUCUAUUGUUCUGUUACAACGUCCUACUUCUUGGGAUACUGCUUGUGUUCUCGCGCGUUUGCAGGAGGAGGUGUCGGAUCCUUUCAAGAGAAGAGACACUAGAAGAGUGGAUUCAUCUUUCCAGCCCAGGCCAGCAUUUAAACAACCUCACCCUCUUCCGGUUCCACCAUUGAAGCUGGAUAAACCUUCACCUGUCCAAUCAGAGGAUAGGCGAGUCGUUGAAGCUACCAGAGCUGUUACUAUAGACGAUAAAUGGGCUGCGGUCAAAGCAUAUCGCAGAGCUCAGGGUUUAUGCCAGAGGUGUGCCAUGAAAUGGUCUCGUGAUCACAAGUGUGCACCGACAGUACAGCUGCAUGUGCUGCAAGAGUUGUUGGAUAUUUUUCAGUUGGAAGAUAUUUCAUCUCCUGAUUCUCCUCGACCUGGCAGUUUUUCUGGUGAGCAACUUUUUAUGACUCUGUCUGUUGCUGCUUUGUCUGGUACUCCAACUCCCAGAAACCAUGAGUAUGCUAGGCUCUAUUCAAGGCCAUCAGAUAAAUAUUUUGGUCGACUCCGGUAGCUCCCAUACCUUCCUGAGUCAGCAGAUGGCUACUAAGUUACAAGGGGCUCAGUCUGUACCAAUUCCAUUGCAAGUACAAGUGGCUGAUGGGAAUGUGCUGCAAUGCUGUCAACAUUUUCCAGCAGCAGUUUGGUCUAUUCAGGGAUGUGAUUUCCAGGCUGACCUCAAGGUUUUACCUCUAUCCUCUUAUGAUAUGAUCUUGGGUUUAGAUUGGUUGGAGCAAUUUAGCCCAAUGAAGGUCCAUUGGCAGCACAAGUGGCUCACCAUUCCAUAUCAGAAUUCUUCUGUUACACUAUUUGGCCAGUUACCUGAAUUUCCUGACGGUUCAAUGGUACAAGUCUGUGCUGUGACAGUUCCUGUUGGGGAGUAAGUGCAAGUAUCCAUCCCUCCAGAAAUCCAGCAACUGAUUGAAUUAUAUGCAGAACUCUUUGAGGUUCCUAGUGAACUACCUCCUUCACGGCAUUGUGACCAUGCUAUACCCCUGGUUCCUGGGGCUGCUCCAUUCAGCAUACGACCAUACAGAUUUGCUCCUCAUCUUAAAGAUGAAAUAGAAAAGCAAGUCCAGGAGAUGUUAGCUGCUGGUUUCAUUCAGAAGAGCUCCAGUCCAUUUUCUUCAUCAGUUUUGUUGGUAAAGAAGAAAGACAACAGUUGGAGAUUCUGUGUUGAUUACAGGCACCUUAAUGCUAUUACUGUCAAGGGCAAGUUUCCGGUUCCUAUUAUUGAUGAAUUUUUGGAUGAGUUGUCUCAGGCUAGCUGGUUUUCCAAUUUAGAUUUGAGAUCUGGAUUUCAUCAAAUCAGACUCAAGCCUGGAGAAGAAUUCAAAACAGCCUUUCAGACACACUUUGGGCAAUUUGAAUUCAGAGUGGUGCCUUUUGGCCUCACUGGAGCUCCUGGUACCUUUCAAGAUGCUAUGAACACUACAUUAGCCCCGUAUUUGAGGAAAUUUGUAUUGGUAUUCUUUGACGACAUUCUUAUCUACAGCAAGUCCUGGGCAGAACACCUCACCCACAUCAAGCUGGUUUUUGAUCUGUUGCUGAGGGAUCAAUGGAAGAUAAAGUUGUCCAAAUGUGCUUUUGCACAAAGACAAAUUAGCUAUUUGGGUCAUAUCAUCAGUGAGCAAGGUGUAGGUACUGACCCUAUCAAAAUUUCAGCGAUAGCUAAUUGGCCAACUCCCUCUUCUGUUAAAGAAUUAAGAAGUUUUUUGGGUUUGGCUGGAUAUUACAGAAAGUUUGUGAGGAACUUUGGGAUUAUCAGUAAACCACUCACUAAACUUCUCAAGAAAAAUGUAUUGUUUGUAUGGACCCAUCAUCAUGAUCAGUCCUUUGAAGCAUUGAAAACUGCUUUAUGCAAUUCGCCUGUGUUAGCACUUCCUGAUUUUUCCAAGGUAUUUUCUAUAGAGACUGAUGCGAGUGGCACUGGUAUAGGGGCAGUUCUCCUUCAAGAUGGUCUUCCACUUGCAUUUUUGAGCAAGGCAUUGGGUCCUAAAUCUCAAGGGCUUUCAACCUAUGAAAAGGAAUAUAUGGCCAUAUUGCUAGCUGUACAGCAGUGGAGGCAGUAUUUGCAGCAUGCUGAAUUUAUUUUUUCCGCGGAUCAAAGGAGUUUGACACAACUUAAUGAGCAACGAUUGCACACCCACUGGCAACAAAAGGUUUUUACCAAACUGCUGGGGCUUCAAUAUAAAGUGGUGUACAAAAAAGGGGCUGAAAACGGUGUCGCAGAUGCCCUUUCUAGGAAAACGGACCAUGAAGGCCAUUGUGCUGCUAUAUCAAUAUGCACUCCACAGUGGGUUUUGGAGGUUCAAUCUGGUUACCAAAGGGAUGAACAUGCUUCUUCUAUCAUAGCUAAGCUGUCCAUUGACCCUGCGGCUGUUCCAAAUUUUGCAUUCGCCAAUGGGUUACUGCGUUACAAGAAUAGAAUUUGGGUGGGCAAGAAUCCUCAGUUGCAACUUAAGUUGUUACAUGCUUAUCAUUCCAUUGCCGUUGGCGGCCAUUCCGGCGCUCCUGUUACAUAUAUGAGAUUAAAGCAGGCCUUUGCAUGGGCCGGCAUGAAAACUGCAGUCACCAGUUUCGUGAAAGCAUGUUUAACUUGCCAGCAAGCGAAACCAGAUAGGACUAAACUACCGGGACUACUCCAGCCUCUGCAAGUUCCAUCGGGGGCAUGGCAGCUCGUAUCUCUUGAUUUUGUGGAAGGCUUGCCUUUGUCAGGAAGUGUCAAUUGUAUUCUGGUGGUUGUCGAUUCCUUCACAAAAUAUGGUCAUUUUGUUCCAUUGAAGCACCCAUUCACUGCUGCUGUGGUGGCCAAAGCAUUCAUGAACCAGAUUUAUCGUCUGCAUGGUAUGCCGUCAGCCAUAAUAUCUGAUCGUGAUCGGAUUUUUACAAGUUCAUUUUGGAAGGAGCUGUUCAGAUUGGCCGGUGUCGAGCUACACAUGAGCUCCAGUUAUCACCCACAGUCCGAUGGUCAAACUGAGCGCCUCAACCAAUCCAUGGAGACGUUCUUGCGUUGUUUUGUUAAUGCUUGCCCUUCUAAAUGGUCCCAAUGGUUGGCAGCCGCCGAGUUCUAGUACAAUGCUAGCCCACACUCCGCUAUUGGACGUUCUCCGUUCGAGGCAUUAUAUGGUUACCCUCCAAAGCAUUUCGGUCUAUCAGCUAUUGAUUCUGUUAAGACCCCAGAUUUAUCUGAAUGGCUGCAGAAUAGGGAAGUCAUGAAUAAUCUCAUCCACCAUCACUUGCUUCGGGCCAAGCAAAGGAUGAAGAAGCAGGCGGAUAAAAACCGUUCAGAGCGUCAAUUCUCAGUGGGCGAUAAGGUUUUCCUCAAGCUCCAACCGUACGUACAGUCUUCUUUGGCUCCCCGAUCCAACAUGAAGUUGGCUUUCAAAUAUUUCGGGCCUUAUGAGGUUCUUGAACGUGUUGGUUCCGUCGCUUACAAGUUGAAGCUUCCACCUCAUUCAACUAUCCACCCGGUUUUCCACGUCUCACAAUUGAAACCAUCGACAAUGCCAUCAUCUGAGGUACUAGUUCCUUUGCCUGCCUCCAUAGAACUGCCUCACGUCCCACAAAAGAUUAUGCAGGAACGAACAGUACAUCUCGAUACUCGUCCGGUGCGUCAGUGCGUCAGGUUCUUGUGAAGUGGUCGGGUUGGCCGAAUUCGAUGGCUACCUGGGAGGAUGUCACUGCCCUGAAGCAGCGCUUCCCCAGGGCGCCCGCUUGGGGUCAAGCGGGUUCUCAAGAAGGGGGGAAUGUUAGUACCCCAUCAUCUCCAGCCAGGCCGGCAACACUCCGUCAAAGCUCCAGGCCCAAGAAGCCCAAUGCGUGUGUCACUGGACCGGAAUGGGUCCACUCGCUUGCAUGCGAGCAACAGGGCUGAGCCCAUGUACGAGAACUAUAUCUAUGCGAGUGAAAGGAAGAGAGAGGGGGGAAAAACAAAUUGUACACGUAUCUUCUUUCCUAAGCUGUCCUCUGCUCUUCCUUCCUAAUCCUGUUCUUCCGAUUCCCCAAUUCAAUUACCCC
rnacentral:lncRNA from 1 species